UCCCUGGUAUUUCCAGUGACUAAGACUCUGCACUCCCAAUGCAGGGGGCCUGGGUUCAAUCCCUGGUCAGGGAG
rnacentral:tRNA from 1 species